GUUAGUGCGGUGAUGAAGCAUAUAUUGUGGACUAGAGUUUCUGAUAUUGGGCUCUUCUUCCCAUUUUAUUUUGACGACAAACCCUUGGCUGUCAGAGCACUAUA
rfam:Helianthus annuus linkage group 8, whole genome shotgun sequence.